GACGAACCGAGCGAACGUUGUUCGGAAUCACUGGGCUUAAAGGGCGCGUAGGCGGGUGCUCAAGUCCGGGGUGAAAUCCUCCAGCUCAACUGGAGAACUGCCUCGGAUACUGGGUGCCUCGAGGGUGGUAGGGUAUGCGGAACUAUCGGUGGAGCGGUGAAAUGCGUUUGAUAUCGAUAGGAACUCCGGUGGCGAAGGCGGCAUACUGGACCACAUCUGACGCUGAGGCGCGAAAGCCAGGGAGCAAACGGG
rnacentral:rRNA from 1 species